rnacentral:lncRNA from 1 species
UGCUUGCUUUCAUUAACUCUUACCUCUACCAGAAACCAAGCAGCUAUGAUGCCCAAUCACAAUUUCUAUGACCACUUUCUUAUCUUGUCAACUCUCUGAGAGUUCUGAGUAGCAUUUCUCAUUUCUUGCUUUUCAGUACCCACCCCUCGAACAUACUUCCUCAGUGUACCUCAGCCUCCCAUCAAGCAAAAAAUCAAAAUUCCAGUUUAUGGCAAGAGCAGAAUAAAUGCAGCAGUCUCCUCUUCUCCAUCAUUUUCUGACUUUUCCCAAGUUAUCGUACCAGCACAAUGCCUUCUACUCCCAAAUCACAGCAAGAUAUUAAUAACCCUUAGUAGAAAGAUUCCUUAUUAGGUCACACAGAGUCAUUAUGGCUUAAUAGCUGUCACCCUCCCAAGCUAACCUGUGCAACAGGUGUGGAAAGUAAACUUAGAGGCUCACUUGGCAACCCCACAAAUAGGGCUUCACAGCUCUCCCCCCAAUGCUCCCAAUGGCCUCUGGUCCCCAGCAUAUGAGCCCCUGCCCCUGUAGACCUAGGGAGAAGCCCUUCUCAGCUCAGCUCACCUGUUUGUAGGCAUCGAGGAGGAAGCUCUUCCAGACGCAGCGCAGUCCCUCUGAGGUCAGCAUGCGCCGCCACUCUCCGCGAGUGGACUUGGAGCGGCUCAACAGCAGCACCACGUGCUUGAGCAGAAUGACCGAGUCAUAGAGAGCCAGGAAGAGGCAGUUGGAGAAAAAAACUGGCAGAAUUUGCAGUGUGAUCAGCAAGUCUACGCUGAGGAUGCCCAUCUUCUCUGCCUCCUGAGUCAGUUCCCUUGUCCCUAAUCCAGUUACCUCUGUCAGAGUCCGUUAAAGACAGGCAGUUCUACUUUCAUUUCCAAGCACCUAUGAGACUGUCCCAGCAUAAAGACAUGGGAUAUGUGAGAAAAGGAAUAGGAAAAAGCCAAAGAGACACCGGCUUACAUUAGAAAAUCUACUCAAAAUCACUCAA